AAAAAAAUAAGCUAAUUAAGCUACUGGGUUCAUACCCCAUUUAUGAAGGUUUUAGUCCUUCUUUUUUUG
rnacentral:tRNA from 1 species